UGGGGAAUUUUGGACAAUGGGCGCAAGCCUGAUCCAGCAAUGCCGCGUGCAGGAUGAAGGCCUUCGGGUUGUAAACUGCUUUUGUACGGAGCGAAAAGGCUUCCACUAAUACUGGGGGCUCAUGACGGUACCGUAAGAAUAAGCACCGGCUAACUACGUGCCAGCAGCCGCGGUAAUACGUAGGGUGCAAGCGUUAAUCGGAAUUACUGGGCGUAAAGCGUGCGCAGGCGGUCUUGUAAGACAGGUGUGAAAUCCCCGGGCUUAACCUGGGAACUGCACUUGUGACUGCAAGGCUGGAGUACGGCAGAGGGGGAUGGAAUUCCGCGUGUAGCAGUGAAAUGCGUAGAUAUGCGGAGGAACACCGAUGGCGAAGGCAAUCCCCUGGGCCUGUACUGACGCUCAUGCACGAAAGCGUGGGGAGCAAACAGGAUUAGAUACCCUGGUAGUCCACGCCCUAAACGAUGUCAACUGGUUGUUGGGUCUUCACUGACUCAGUAACGAAGCUAACGCGUGAAGUUGACCGCCUGGGGAGUACGGCCGCAAGGUUG
rnacentral:rRNA from 1 species